UACGUAGGGGGCGAGCGUUGUUCGGAUUUACUGGGCGUAAAGAGCGCGUAGGUGGUCCGAUAAGUCGGAGGUGAAAUCCCUCGGCUCAACCGAGGAUCCGCGUCCGAUACUGACGGACUUGAGUGCAGGAGAGGAGAGCGGAAUUCCCAGUGUAGCGGUGAAAUGCGUAGAUAUUGGGAGGAACACCGGUGGCGAAGGCGGCUCUCUGGACUGCUACUGACACUGAGGCGCGAAAGCUAGGGGAGCAAACGGG
rnacentral:rRNA from 1 species